rnacentral:rRNA from 1 species
AUUGAACGCUGGCGGCAUGCCUUACACAUGCAAGUCGAACGGCAGCACGGGAGCAAUCCUGGUGGCGAGUGGCGAACGGGUGAGUAAAGUAUCGGAACGUGCCCAGUCGUGGGGGAUAACGUAGCGAAAGUUACGCUAAUACCGCAUACGAUCUAUGGAUGAAAGCGGGGGAUCGCAAGACCUCGCGCGAUUGGAGCGGCCGACAUCAGAUUAGGUAGUUGGUGGGGUAAAGGCUCACCAAGCCGACGAUCUGUAGCUGGUCUGAGAGGACGACCAGCCACACUGGGACUGAGACACGGCCCAGACUCCGACGGGAGGCAGCAGUGGGGAAUUUUGGACAAUGGGCGAAAGCCUGAUCCAGCCAUGCCGCGUGCAGGAUGAAGGCCUUCGGGUUGUAAACUGCUUUUGUACGGAACGAAAAGGUUUGGCCUAAUAAGCUGAGCUCAUGACGGUACCGUAAGAAUAAGCACCGGCUAGCUACGUGCCGGCCGCCGCCGUAA